UCCCUGGUGGCUUAGAGGGUAAAGCACCUGCCUGCAAUGCGGGAGACCUGGGUUCAAUCCCUGAGUUGGGAA
rnacentral:tRNA from 1 species